UAGGGAAUCUUCCGCAAUGGACGCAAGUCUGACGGAGCAACGCCGCGUGAGUGAAGAAGGAUUUCGGUUCGUAAAACUCUGUUGUUAGAGAAGAACAGCGCAUAGAGUAACUGUUAUGCGUGUGACGGUAUCUAACCAGAAAGCCACGGCUAACUACGUGCCAGCAGCCGCGGUAAUACGUAGGUGGCAAGCGUUGUCCGGAUUUAUUGGGCGUAAAGCGAGCGCAGGCGGUCAAUUAAGUCUGAUGUGAAAGCCCCCGGCUCAACCGGGGAAGGGCAUUGGAAACUGGUUGACUUGAGUGCAGAAGGGGAGAGUGGAAUUCCAUGUGUAGCGGUGAAAUGCGUAGAUAUAUGGAGGAACACGAGUGGCGAAGGCGAAUCUCUAGUCUGAAACUGACGCUGAGGCUCGAAAGCGUGGGUAGCAAACAGG
rnacentral:rRNA from 1 species